rnacentral:misc_RNA from 1 species
GAUAUGUACUAACAACCAUGCGUUUGACUUUAGCACGACGAUGGAGAGGAGUAACAGCCAUCAAGCAAAUAAUAGUAGAGCAAUUCGGAUUCGCAAUAAGAGCUCCCUUUCCAGAACCAAGCUUGACAUGUGCCAUAGCUUCAGGAUUCACUUCUGGAAUCACAAGAGGCACAUUCUCAUCCAUCCGAAAAGCGGAGCUAUUAUCCACUACAAUUGUUCCCUUUUGAGCAGCCAAGGGUCCAAAUUUCUUACUAAUUGAACCACCAGCACUAAACAAUGCAAUAUCUAUACCAUCAAAACUAUCCUCAGUGAGCUCUUCAACAGUAUAAUCUCGUUCCUCAAACUUCAUCGAUUUUCCAGCUGAUCUUUUGCUAGCAAGGAGUUUAAGAGAACGGUACGGGAAGUUACGGUCAGAUAGAACGGAUAGAAACUCUUGACCGACGGCGCCAGUAACACCGACGACGGCGACGGAUGGACCGUUUUCCUGGAGAGACAUACGGACACGGAAAGGGGAAGAGGAGGAGCGUGGUAGACGAAUGCCGGAUACCAGAGCGGAGCUGCCAUUGAGGAAAUGGUUGUGACGGAGAGAAAGUGCCGGAGUGUUCAUUUUCCCGGUGAGGAGCAGCGGUAAAAUGGCGGCGGAAAAUGAUUGAAG